UACGUAGGGUGCAAGCGUUAAUCGGAAUUACUGGGCGUAAAGCGUGCGCAGGCGGUUUUGUAAGUCUGACGUGAAAUCCCCGGGCUUAACCUGGGAAUUGCGUUGGAGACUGCAAGGCUGGAGUCUGGCAGAGGGGGGUAGAAUUCCUCGUGUAGCAGUGAAAUGCGUAGAGAUGUGGAGGAACACCGAUGGCGAAGGCAGCCCCCUGGGUCAAGACUGACGCUCAUGCACGAAAGCGUGGGGAGCAAACAGG
rnacentral:rRNA from 1 species